AAAAAGGUUAGUUGGCUAAUUAUGCCACACUCAUCCUUGUUGGUAAGUGUUGUAUGGCUCUCAAGACAUAUGUAUGACAUAAUUUUUGUGAAAUUAUAGGGUUGACUCGGUAGGCCGUCCCUUA